GGCCAAACAACACGAGAACAAGUAAGUGAUAAAACAAUCUUUAUUUAAAUAUUUAAAAAUAGCUUGGGGAAUAGGGAAAGGGCAAUUAAAACUAAACUCUGACUCGGCCCUCCAGAUGGGCUAUGGCCGGGAAGAGGUCAGGGAGCAAGGGGGCCACGGGGAUCCGGGGCGUGGGACUCGGGGCCCGGCCAGAGUCUUAGGUAUCCGUAGCGCCCUCCUUCUUCCUCCUCUUCGCUGAAUACAACUCACGGUAAGUACUGGUUCACACAGUUCGUUCUCGGGGUGCUCACUCUCUUUCUCUUCCUCCACAGGCAACGGCUGGGACGCAAAGGCACAGUUAAUUCGGCUUGGUUUUGCUCUCACCUCUUCGCUGAUUGCAGCUCACAGUAAGUACUGGUUCACACAGUUCGUUCCUUGGGUGCUCACUCGCUUUCUCUUUCUCCACAGGCAGCGGCGUAAGUACAGGUUUCCUCGGUCUCUCCUCGUGUUACCCACUCUCUCUCCUUUUCUCUCCACAGGUAUCAACUUGGGCACAAUAGCACAGUUAGUUUGCUUUGAAUGGCUCUCACCUCUGGGCUGGACACAGCGUACUGUAAGUACAGGUUUCGCUCUAUUUCUCCUCGCGUUAUCCACUCUCUCUCCUCCUCUCUACAGGUAUCAACUUGGACACAAAACACAGUUACUCUGCUUUGGAUGGCUUUCACCUCUGGGCUGGACACAACGUACUGUAAGUACAGGGUUCGCUCUAUUCCUCCUCGUGUUAUUCACUCUCUCUCCUUUUCUCUCCACAGGUAUCAACUUGGGCACAAUAGCACAGUUAGUUUGCUUUGAAUGACUCUCACCUCUGGGCUGAGCACAGCGUACCGUGCUAUCUCCGGAGAUCUGAAGCACGCUCACAACAUAUACUGUACUGAACUAGGCUAGAACCAGCAGUCUCCUUGUCCUCCCGCGACGGAGUGCGUGAAGGCGGGGGUUUAUCUGACAGGACACACGGCAAUACACAGCAACCCACAGCAAUAUACAGCACCACGUCAAAAAUUAUAGGUUUUCACAGCACGAAGACUCACCCACCACACUCAGUGUACGAAAAGGACACCCGUCUUCCUUCACUUCGCUUGGUUCGGAUCUGGCGAUGGAAUAUGCGGCCUAGCUAGUGAUGUCGUCGUUGUGACUACUUCAAUAAGUAUUCCUUCGGCUCUCCCACCAC